GGGGGUAUGGUCUAGUGGUAUGAUUCCUGUUUUGCAUUGAUCUUUCGAUCCAGCCAUACAGGCGGUCCCGCGUUCGAUCCGCGGUGCCUCCA